AUUGAACGCUGGCGGCAGGCCUAACACAUGCAAGUCGAACGGAGUGGCGGACGGGUGCGUAAUGCCUAGGAAUAUGCCUGGUAGUGGGGGAUAACGUCAGGACACGGGCGCUAAUACCGCAUACUAUCAGAUGAGCCUAGGUCGGAUUAGCUAGUUGGUGGGGUAAAGUCCUACAAGGGCGACGAGCCGUAACUGGUCUGAGAGGCGGAUCAGUCACACUGGAACUGAGACACGGUCCAGACGCCUACGGGAGGCAGCAGUGGGGAAUAUUGGACAAUGGGCGAAAGCCUGAUCCAGCCAUGCCGCGUGUGUGAAGAAGGUCUUCGGAUUGUAAAGCACUUUAAGUUGGGAGGCGUUACCAACAGAAUAAGCACCGGCUAACUUCGUGCCAGCAGCCGCGGUAAUAC
rnacentral:rRNA from 1 species